rnacentral:pre_miRNA from 1 species
GUGUGCGGGCCUGGGCCGGGGUAGGGGUGGGGGUGGCAGAGUGCCGUCCGGGGGGCGGGGCCGGAGCGCGGCCACCCUAACUCCUCCUGCUCCGCCCCCCAG